rnacentral:rRNA from 1 species
AACGUAGGGGACAAGCGUUAUCCGGAUUUACUGGGCGUAAAGCGCCCGUAGGCGGCCUGACAAGUUGGACGUGAAAGCUCCUGGCUUAACUGGGAGAGGCCGUUCAAAACUGUCAGGCUAGAGUCUGGAAGAGGAGAGCGGAAUUCCCGGUGUAGUGGUGGAAUGCGUAGAGAUCGGGAGGAACACCAGUGGCGAAAGCGGCUCUCUGGUCCAAAACUGACGCUGAGGGGCGAAAGCGUGGGGAGCGAACGGG